GCAUAUCAAUAAGCGGAGGAAAAGAAAAUAACAAUGAUUUCCCUAGUAAACGGCGAGUGAAGAGGAAAGAGCUCAAAGUUGGAACCUGUUUGGCUUAGCUAAACCGGAUUGUAAACUGUAGAAGUGUUUUCCAGACACGCCUGGUAAAAAAGUCCUUUGGAACAGGGCAUCAUAGAGGGUGAGAAUCCCGUCAUUGGCCAGAGCUGUUGUCUUUUGUGAUACAUUUUCAAAGAGUCAGGUUGUUUGGGAAUGCAGCCUAAAUUGGGUGGUAAAUCUCACCUAAAGCUAAAUAUUUGCGAGAGACCGAUAGCGAACAAGUACCGUGAGGGAAAGAUGAAAAGAACUUUGAAAAGAGAGUUAAACAGUAUGUGAAAUUGUUAAAAGGGAACCGUUUGGAGCCAGACUGGCUUAACUGUAAUCAAUCUAGGCUUUGGCCUGGAUGCACUUGCGGUUUAUGCCGGCCAACGACAGUUUUGUUUGAGGGAAAAAAUUACAUUGAAUGUGGCCCUUCGGGGUGUUAUAGCUUUGUAAAAAAUACCUUGGACUGGACUGAGGAACGCAGUGAAUGCCUUUAGGCAAGAUUGCUGGGUGCUUUCGCUAAUAAAUGCUAGAAUUUCUGCUUCGGGUGGUGCUAGUGUUUAAAGGAGGAACUCGCUUAGUAUAUUUUUUAUUCGCUUAGGUUGUUGGCUUAAUGACUCUAAAUGACCCGUCUUGAAACACGGACC
rnacentral:rRNA from 1 species